GACGAACCGUGCGAACGUUGUUCGGAAUCACUGGGCUUAAAGGGCGCGUAGGCGGCUCCGCAAGUCGGGGGUGAAAUCUUUCGGCUUAACCGGAAAAGUGCCUCUGAUACUGCGGAGCUCGAGGGAGGUAGGGGCGGACGGAACUUCCGGUGGAGCGGUGAAAUGCGUUGAUAUCGGGAGGAACACCAGUGGCGAAGGCGGCUCACUGGACCGGUACUGACGCUGAUGCGCGAAAGCGUGGGGAGCAAACGGG
rnacentral:rRNA from 1 species